rnacentral:rRNA from 1 species
UUUGCAUAAUGGACUAACUAAAAAUUAAUAGAUCUAUAUUCACGAAGUAGUUCUGAGCUAAAUAUAAUUACAUUGUAGUUGACAAAAUUUGGUGUGGCAAAACCUUAAUCAAAAUUAUAUUUAGAGGUGAUAGGCCUCCCAAAAACUAAGAUAUCUUGAUUCCAAUGAAAUGUAUUUAGUACAAUUAAUACAUUUAUUAAGUGUUUAGGCUUAAUAAUAAUAUUAAAAUAUAUAUCAUAUAAUUAUUAUGUUUUAAUAAAUAAAUACAUACAAACCAUAUUAUAUUUCUAUAAAAGUUAUAAUAAGUAAUUGGGUGCAAAUAAAUAAUAUUAUAUGUUAAUAAUGUUGGUAUUAGUAUUAUAUAUAAGUUUAUAUAAGGAACUCGGCAAAGUGCUUCUCAACUGUUUAUCAAAAACAUAACUAUGUGUAAUUAUACAUAGCGGUAUCUGCUCAAUGAUUUAUUAAAUAGCCGCAGUAUACUGACUGUGCAAAGGUAGCAUAAUCAAUUGACUUGUAAUUGAAGUCUGGAAUGAAAGAAAGUAUGGGGAGCGACUGUCUUAUAAAAUUAUAGAGAACUUAUUUAUGAAGUGAAAAUCCUUCUCUUAACAUAAGGGACGAGAAGACCCUAGAAAUUUUUAGUAAUAUUAGAUAUAUAUUUAAGUAUUUUUCGCUGGGGCGGCGGAGUAACAUUGAACUUACUUACACAAACCUGCGCCAAUGUUGGCAAUUGAUAAAAUUACUCUAGGGAUAACAGCAUAAUAUUUAAAAGUUUGUGACCUCGAUGUUGGACUAGGAUAUAAUAGCCUAGAAGGUUUUUUAUAAUGCUCUGUUCGAGCAUAAACUCCUACAUGAUCUGAGU